UGACUUCUUCGGAAUGAUUUUGAUUAAGUUUAGUGGCGGACGGGUGAGUAACGCGUGAGUAACCUGCCUCUAAGAGGGGAAUAACAUUCUGAAAAGAAUGCUAAUACCGCAUAACAUAUAUUUAUCGCAUGGUAGAUAUAUCAAAGAUUUAUCGCUUAGAGAUGGACUCGCGUCCGAUUAGUUAGUUGGUGAGGUAACGGCUCACCAAGACCGCGAUCGGUAGCCGGACUGAGAGGUUGAACGGCCACAUUGGGACUGAGACACGGCCCAGACUCCUACGGGAGGCAGCAGUGGGGGAUAUUGCGCAAUGGGGGAAACCCUGACGCAGCAACGCCGCGUGAAGGAUGAAGGUCUUCGGAUUGUAAACUUCUUUUAUUAAGGACGAAGAAAGUGACGGUACUUAAUGAAUAAGCUCCGGCUAACUACGUGCCAGCAGCCGCGGUAAUACGUAGGGAGCAAGCGUUGUCCGGAUUUACUGGGUGUAAAGGGUGCGUAGGCGGCUUUGCAAGUUAGAUGUGAAAUCUAUGGGCUCAACCCAUAGCCUGCAUUUGAAACUGCAGAGCUUGAGUGAAGUAGAGGCAGGCGGAAUUCCCCGUGUAGCGGUGAAAUGCGUAGAGAUGGGGAGGAACACCAGUGGCGAAGGCGGCCUGCUGGGCUUUAACUGACGCUGAGGCACGAAAGCGUGGGUAGCAAACAGGAUUAGAUACCCUGGUAGUCCACGCUGUAAACGAUGAUUACUAGGUGUGGGGGGUCUGACCCCUUCCGUGCCGGAGUUAACACAAUAAGUAAUCCACCUGGGGAGUACGGCCGCAAGG
rnacentral:rRNA from 1 species